CUUGAUGCCUUCUCCAGAGAAUGUGCUUCUGAACAUAACCAAAGCCUCAUUGCUCAGGGCUGGCUCGGGCAUCUGACAGACACGGGGCAGUGAACUGAAAGCAGGGAGGCUGAGGUGGUGUUGGCCCGAGAGAGUUACCAAGAUAAAGUGAGAAGGAGAAGAAAUUGUCCCUGGCAGGAACUUAGCCAAGGUGGCCAUUUCCACAUGGACCUAAGGCAUUUGCCAGUCCUGGAGCUCAUGUUAAACAUUAAACUGUCUUCCUGGACAGGAAUAAAAGGAAGGCAGCAUCUCUGCCUGGUUUCUCUGUCUUUAGAGUAAGGGAACCUCAAGGAAUCCUAGCAAUGGAAAACAACCCAAAGGUCUCUUGUUGCUAAGAUAAAUGAAGGUUCUGAAAAGUGGGCUGGAAAGAUCCAGAAGGAAACUAAGCUCACCAUCAUGGAGCACCUGGGGUCACGUGAUCUGACUCUGCCAUGGAUCGUGAGCGUCCAGGAAUCUCCACAAGUAAUUUGCACUUAACAAGUGGUUCUGGGCUGAAGGGAUGUGCAAAGCCUUUGUUACAUCAAUGUAAAGAUUGAGUCUGGAUCCGCAGCACACGGUUGCAAUCUCAGAGCUCCUGGUUCGAGGUGGGAGGCAGAGACAGGAAAAUCCUCAGUGGCAAACAGUAGCAAGCAACAGACCCUACCCAGGCAAGGCUGAAGGCUAGGACUCACACCCAAGGUUGUCACCUGACUCCCAAGCAUGUGCUCCCCAGGGUGCAUCUAAACAAACAAACAAACAGAAGAAAAAGUAGUUUUAAUUUACUUUACUUAAGAAUAAACCAGUAGAUGGUUCAUGACAUAAGAUAGCCAAAUGUUGAAAUGACUGUAAAAAAUAAAGUUUAUGCAUGUGUCUUUGAGCAAUA